UGGGGAAUAUUGGACAAUGGGCGCAAGCCUGAUCCAGCCAUGCCGCGUGAGUGAUGAAGGCCCUAGGGUUGUAAAGCUCUUUCACCGGUGAAGAUAAUGAUGGUAACCGGAGAAGAAGCGCCGGCUAACUUCGUGCCAGCAGCCGCGGUAAUACGAAGGGGGCUAGCGUUGUUCGGAUUUACUGGGCGUAAAGCGGACGUAGGCGGACGAUUAAGUCAGGGGUGAAAUCCCGGGGCUCAACCCCGGAACUGCCUUUGAUACUGGUAGUCUUGAGUACGGGAGAGGUGGGUGGAAUUCCGAGUGUAGAAGUGAAAUUCGUAGAUAUUCGGAGGAACACCAGUGGCGAAGGCGGCUCACUGGCUGGAUACUGACGCUGAGGUGCGAAAGCGUGGGGAGCAAACAGG
rnacentral:rRNA from 1 species